UGACUGGGGCGGUCGCCUCCUAAAUGGUAACGGAGGCGUGCGAAGGUGGGCUCAGGUUGGUCGGAAAUCAACCGUCGAGUGCAAUGGCAUAAGCCCGCCUGACUGCGAGACUGACAAGUCGAGCAGAGUCGAAAGACGGCCAUAGUGAUCCGGUGGUUCUGUGUGGAAGGGCCAUCGCUCAACGGA
rnacentral:rRNA from 11 species